AAACUGUAAAUGCAAGGUGGUUUCUGAGACUCAAAACCUUCUGAGGUGAUGCACAUUACUCACUGCCCUGUGUGCUGGGAUGUGCCUGGUCCUAAUCCAGCCCCAAGUCCUGGCCUUCCUUCAAGUUUGGUUUGAUGGGAAGGGCUCCUCACCUAACCUUACCUUUCUCUUCACCACUGAGCUUGCCUCAAAUGAACUCUGUGUUGACACUCGUGCAGGAAAAAAGACUCUGGAAAGAAAAGGCUUUUUAUAUCUGUUCUACAGAAGAAAUACACAUGUUAAUUCUGGCUAUGGCAGAUCCUCUAGGCCCACACCUCUGACACACCCAAUAUAAAGAGAGUUUAAACAAGCACUUACCCUUAAGGGUGGGAGGGAUGCUCAGUUUUAUCACCUCACCCCACCCCAGCCCUGGUUCCUCCAGGCCCUGUUAGAACAGCCAGGUUUGUUCCCUGUGUGCAGGAAGUGCUGAGGUUUGUGUCCCUCAGCAGCCACCUGCUCCAGGGUGCUCUGUGCUUCAAGAAAAGGGUCAGGUAAAAAACACCUUUUUCCAUGAGUUGGGGACAAUCAGUCAGUGCUGGGAAACGAUGGAUUUCACAGCCUCACAUAUCUCAAAGCGAAGCAGAAACCCGACCUCAAGGCACCUGUGUCUCUCCAGUGCUGGUGGUGCCAGUGGGACGGUGCCUCACCUGAACCCAGCAGGACAAACCCCAGACACACCUGUGGGAGCUGGCACCAGCCCCUGCUUGUCCUGGUCCCUCACCCCUCUGCCAGGGCAAAGCCUGGAUUGCUCUCUGUGCCAGUUUAAAGGAGCAUGGGCAAAUUACAAGGCAGUUAAACCCAGUGAUCUCCUUAUCUUUGCUAUUAGUAUUGCUUUCGAUUAUUCUGAAUGAUACAUGGCAAGAAACCAGAUUUGCUUUUGAUCUUUAAUACCAUGUGUUUACUUUUCACUAAGCCAAACAAGGAAAACCUCUAACUCUCUUUCACUUUUAUCUGUCCCCUAUUUGUUUUCAUGUACAAGCACAGUGCUUCAAUGUUCAGGCUGUAGAUGAUGCCAAGGAAAAUUGAAGUCCAAACCAAGAAGCUGCUUUCACUGGAAUUUAGAAAAACAAAUACAGAGAGCUUUCUGUUGCUCAUUUUAUUUCAUUUUCAAUAAAUCUAAAUUUUGAGUCAACUCAACCUGACAGUGUUUAUCUAAAUAAAAAUGCAAUGGUUAUGGGAAUGAGAGCUGGUCCUUAGCUCAGAGGAGGAGGAGACUUUGAUUAGUGCUUGGCUAGGAAGAAGGCAAGUGUCUAAAGCAAGAGGAUUUGAAGACCAUGUUCCACUGAAGUGGGUAUAAAUUUUAUCAGUACCUUUGAAGCAAGUAGAAUCAAACUCUAAAUUAGUGAUUCUGCAUUACUUAGUAGCUCUUACUUCUAGCUUCUGGCUAGCUUCAGUUUUUAGCUGGAGAGCUAACUGGAGGGGUUAUUUGGAGUUGCCUUAAACCUAUAUGCUACUAAAUGAUUUACUGGAUGUUUAGAUACCUAUAAUCCUGGAAUUAGACCUACUGGGAUAUAAAUCCCUGAAGCUCACAAGCAGUUAAAUAAUGACUAAACGGAAAAAGAAAAACCCAUCUAAUCCUUUCCAUGCUAAGGUAUAUAAUAGCACAAAAUUGGGAAAAUCCAUCUUCCACACCAAAUAGAGUGAUUACAAAUGAAGGCAAGAACAUUAUCCAAAAAUAUUGGAAGUGGAGUAGUACUGUGAUCAAAUAGAACAACAAACAAUUCCUGAAAGAAAGGAAAAGUACGUAAAUAUUUCUGUAUGUGUUUUACAGGGUCUGCACUGACACUGAGUUCCUUCUGUUCAUGCUUUUAUCAAAAUUCUUAGCCAGUUCCAUAUGUUUAUUGCAAAGUUUUCCUUCUUCUUUGCCAGGAGGGCAUAUCCAAAGCUCUCAUAAGGAGACUGAAACCAUGGGCUGGAUUUGCAAAGAGCUGUGAAACUUUUUCUGCCUUACUGGGAGCAAAUACGGACUGGAUUGCUGAGAUGGAAUUUUAGCAUCCUGCCUUCAUAGCCUACUGUACACAGGAGAAAGCUGCCUUAGGAUUUCAGUGGCCCAGGAACCAAGCACUGUGAGCAUCCUUGCUCUGAAUUUUCCCUCCCUAAGGAUUGGUAGUGCAGUUCUCAUUGUAGACAGCCUAACUCAGGAGCAAAAUCCACAGUUCUGGUUGCACUGUGCCAGAAGAAAUGGUUUUGAAGGACCUCAGCAUGAUUCAGUGCUAAUCCAAAAUACUGCACAAUGGUGAAGAAACAAGGAAAAUCAGUUUAAGCUAUAGAAUGGUGCUUUGCACAGCUAUAGCUGAAAGGGGCCAGCAGUGCUCGUUGGAUGGAGUGUGUGAGGCUGCAUGCAGGGCAGCAUCUCGUGAAUCAAGGGUUGCUGUGUGCACUGCAGGGAUACUGUGGGAAAGGAAGUUAUACACUUUCACCCUCAUUCCCAAAGUGAUCCUGGAAGAGCCAGCUGCUGAACUGACUGUGGUGGUUGCAGCACCUUGUCUGGUCAUUCUGAAAUUGAUUUCACAAAUAUUUAAUGUGUAUCAUGUGUACCAGGUGGGCUGAUGAGGAUGAGAUGAACUCUAAGAAGAAUUGAUUCUACUUCGUUCUGUUACAGAACCUCAUCACCUUAAUAUUGCAGAAGUUCAUCUGCAUCCUGCAGUGCUGGUGGUAAGAAAUGAGGAGCAGCUCCCUCAAUAAAGUCACUUAAAUAUGACUGAUGACAAAUACUGCAGCGUCUGACCCUGCACCUCUUCUGUAUAAAUGUAAUUUUGUACAAAUAGUCACAUUCAUGUGCAACCACUGGAUGUAUUACUUUGAUCAUUUGACAAAACCAGCAGAGGCAGGGGUGGUGCUGGGGGGUCCCUCACAGCUGACUUGAGGAGAGCAAACACAGUGCUGUGCUGCAUGGCUUCCACCUUUGCACUCAGUGUGGAAUUUGGGAGCUCUGUGGGGCACCCAGUGCUGCUUGUUAGCCUGGCCUCACAUCUCAGCAGCAGCCUGCCCAAACCUCUGCUCUUCGUGCCUCUGCUGUGCCCCACACACCACAGGCACACGUAAUUUUGGGAAACUGAGGCUCAAGGAAGGAAAGAAGUCAAGGCAGCGAGGAAAGUCUUUGGCAAGGUUGGCAGCUCCUGAAAGAUCUUCUGAGCUUCUGCCAAGUGCCUUGAUACCCACGGUGCUCUCCAGCACAAGACAGUGACAUGACAGGAAUGGUGACACAAGGCUCUUACUGUUACAUUCAAUAAUUGAUUCUCCUGGAUGGAUUGUGACUCCCUAAAGGUUGCAAAGAGAGAUCCUUAGUGGACACCGACGUCUCAGUCAGCAGCAAAAGGAAAAGCAGGAGCGCAGGACACUGGGGAUGGACUCAGCAACACAAACUAUCAGUGAGGAAUUAAGCUGCUGGAAAGUUCCUUUAUGAAAUUCUGGGGUCGUUUGUAGUUGCUGACAAAAGUUCUGUUUAAGAAUCCAGUCAGUUUUAAAUCUCUUUUUCGUUCAGGUUGAUCUUCCCUGUAUUUUGCCAAAGCUGCCUAUGAAGUCGCAGUGGUUGAGUUUCACAAGGGGAGCGGGUUCAGCUCAUGUCAGCCCUGCCAGGCCUCUGUGCUUGUUCAAAGUUUCUGCAAAUCUACUGGGACCACAAAUUGGCCAGAAGAAAUUGAGGGAACAGUCUGUCUUACAAUAUUCCUGUUCCUUUUCUAUUCCAACAGAAACUUUGGCAGUUCUUUGACAUUUUCCUCAGUUUUUUGUUUCUCUGAAACUAGGAGUCAGAAAUGAAGAAAAUAAAUAGCACAAUUAUGUGAUGAACAGGUAUCUUUUAGAUACACAAAAUGCAUACUUAUGUAUGUCUAGUGAGAACAGGGUGGGACAAGUUCUUCUUGUUUAUCUGAAUAGUUUUACCUGUCUCAAUCAUGAAAACUUGUCAGUUUUGAGAUAAAGAUAUAGGUAUAGACAUGCUAUGUUCAAAGUAGAAUUCCUGAAUGUAAAGGUUGCUGACAAAGAAUUUGUAUAGAAAGAAGAUAAAUCAAGUGAUAAAAUACAGAGCUUUUGGUCAAUAAUUACUUAAUAUGGUGAAAAUUUUAAAUGAAAAUUCCAGCAUACAACUGCUCCACAUGCAGCCACUUCUUCCUGCAAGAGGAAAUAAACACUCAACCAGAGAGUGUAACAAUGAAUUACAUUCAACCUAGAAGUGCUUUAGCACGUCUUCAAGAGCUGCUGCCUGCUUCAAUGAUGGAUUAUAAGUUAGCAUGGAAUCCCACAGGCAUGGCAAGGUAUUUAUGUCGUGUUCUUAUUGCUUGGGCACUCCCAACAAAUGUACAGUCAGAGCAGAAAUCAGAGUAUCACUGUCUCCCACUUUGUUUUAUUUAUUUAUAUUAAGUGAGUGCUGGAAUAUUACAAACCACCAAGCACAACUGUAGCUGGAAUAUACUUUCCAAAGCUUAUUUACAGUAGCUCUCACUCACAAUGGUAAUGGUAUAUUACUCCAUCAGUAAUUCCAUUGAUUUCAAGAGAUCCAUUAGAGAGGUUCCAUUCCUUGUACAACUGAGUGUGUCUCGAUUUGGUCCCAUGGUUGAAAUGCAGAAAGAGCUCCUUUACUUCUGUGUUCUUAAAUGCAUGAACAGUUUGAAAAAAGCCCUACACCAAGGCUUCCACAAAAGCUUAUAAUAGUGAUGAGGCUGGAGGGAUAAGGUUUUGCAAUAUUUUAUUUCCUUGCAAAAGCAGUGAUACACGUUCUUCAGUUAUACAUAGAUGAAUGUUCAUUCCAUGUGCUGUUUUCAGCUGUGUACUUACACCAGUCCAAAAUCCCAAAGAGAAAAGUAAAAGCUGAGAUUCACAUCAGUAGCAGAGAACAUCAGGUGAUGUUGAUUUAAAGAAAACAUUAAUCAAUCCAGAUUUGCUUGGAACAGGGCCCAGGUUCACUCAACAGGUUGGUGAACCUUAGCAAAUGUUUCUGUGAAUCUGUUCUGUGUUUUGACUCUGUAACAUGAUCUGAAAUCAUCUGAGUUUCAUGUGGUUUUGUUGUGCACGUUUGGAACGCUGGUGGGGCGAAUCCAGGGAAAGGCAGAGGUGCUAAAUUUUGCAUGAUGUGGUAAGGUAAGAAGUGUUUCACUCUUCCUGACACUCCCUGACACCAAAGUGAACAACAGUUGAUGCUGUCAGCAGAGUUUUAAAAGAGGAGACAAUCACUGUCUGUCAGGCUCCUUGUGUCUUUGUUUUGGAGCCAACAGUCUUCAAAUCAUACCCUG